rnacentral:rRNA from 1 species
UAGGGAAUCUUCCACAAUGGACGCAAGUCUGAUGGAGCAACGCCGCGUGAGUGAAGAAGGUUUUCGGAUCGUAAAGCUCUGUUGUUGGUGAAGAAGGAUAGAGGCAGUAACUGGUCUUUAUUUGACGGUAAUCAACCAGAAAGUCACGGCUAACUACGUGCCAGCAGCCGCGGUAAUACGUAGGUGGCAAGCGUUGUCCGGAUUUAUUGGGCGUAAAGCGAGCGCAGGCGGAAUGAUAAGUCUGAUGUGAAAGCCCACGGCUCAACCGUGGAACUGCAUCGGAAACUGUCAGUCUUGAGUGCAGAAGAGGAGAGAGGAACUCCAUGUGUAGCGGUGGAAUGCGUAGAUAUAUGGAAGAACACCAGUGGCGAAGGCGGCUCUCUGGUCUGCAACUGACGCUGAGGCUCGAAAGCAUGGGUAGCGAACA